GACGAACGCUGGCGGCGUGCUUAACACAUGCAAGUCGAACGAAGUGGCGAACGGGUGAGUAACGCGUAAUCAACCUGCCCUUCAGAGGGGGACAACAGUUGGAAACGACUGCUAAUACCGCAUACUGAAGGAGGGGAUUGCGUCUGAUUAGCUAGUUGGAGGGGUAACGGCCCACCAAGGCGAGGAUCAGUAGCCGGGCUGAGAGUGUGCACGGCCAAAUUGGGACUGAGACACGGCCCAGACUCCUACGGGAGGCAGCCGUGGGGAAUCUUCCGCAAUGGACGAAAGUCUGACGGAGCAACGCCGGGGGAGUGAUGACGGCUUUCGGGUUGUAAAGCUCUUUUAAUCGGGACGCGGUACCGGAAUAGAAAGCCACGGCUAACUACGUGCCAGCAGCCGCGGUAAUAC
rnacentral:rRNA from 1 species